ensembl:lncRNA TMEM30A-DT TMEM30A divergent transcript
GCGUUCGCGCAUGCGUGGUCCUAGAGCUACGGUGACACUUCGCGUGCGGUGUAGGCGCAUCUUCGCUCUGUUGGCCGUGGCUUUAGUAAGCACACACCUGCCUGCUACUCUGGUUAUCGUGGCGACGGCAGGUCUGGAUUGCCAGACAGGUUUUUCUUUUUACCUCGAGGCUUUCUCUGAAGGGAGUCGGAGCAUUUAAAAGGCGGCCUCAAGGUGGAUUGAGUCGGGGGAGGAUUAGCAGUAUUUGCUUAGGUUGUAAAACCGCGACUUUAUCUAAUAAAUCGCCAUUCAAGGUGCAAAUACAAACUUGGAACAGA